AGCAACCUCCAAGUGGUGAGACCCGGGCAAUCGAUAUUAUUUGCGAUCAAAUAAUUAUUAUAAAAAAAUGUAACGCAAAUGAUGUCGAGCUAAUGGCUGCCUAAAUUCAAUCAAAAUUUUCAUGUUCUAUUAUUGAUUCCUUUCGAUUCUUAUGACUUUUUUUUCUAAUGAUGAAAUAACUAAUUAAAUUUAUCGAAGUAUCGAAUAUUUUUCUAAAACGAUAUUUUUAAAUAUAAAAUUUGUAAAAAUUAUGUAUAAUAUAAAUACAUUGACGUUAUCAUUACUUGUAAACGUUGAAAGUUUUAAAUGGAAAGGAUCAUUUAUUCUCAACGUUGUCCGAUCCUUUACAAUUUACAAGGUCGUAAAGAUAGUACUUGCAUGGUGAAAAGCAUUUUGUGAAAGCCAAGGAUAAGAUCUUAUUAUACACGUGAUUUUGAUGGAAUACGAAUGUCAAUGAUUUUUGAAUGACCCGAUGAGAAUGAUACUUUCAUUUUUAAAAAUUUGUUUAUGUACAAAAGUGCACGAACAAAUAGCCAACGGACAUUACUUAAGUAUUAAAAAGACGGACUUGUGAUAUUGCGUAAACGUUUAUGCGUACAAGCAGAGAAAGAGAGAGAAAGAUAGAGAAAGAUAGAGGGAGAGAGACAGAGAGAGAGAAUGAGUGAGUGGGCGUACACAGCGGCGAUGAAACGCGAGAAGCUCGACGCAAUUUGCGUGGCGAUAUAUAUCGACCUCGUCUGGUUAUAUCGUUUCGUAAAAAAGAUCUCUCGUAGUUAACUGGCAGAUAAUUUCAUGGCAAUUUCAGCGGUUACUUCGAACCGCCACUCUUUCUCUCUCUUUCUCUCUCUUUCUCUCUGUCUCUCUCUCCCUAUCUCUUUCAUGCUUUCUUCGUUUUCUCAGUACCUCUCACUUUCUCAUACACCCACUAAUCGAGCUCGUUUACCUUCUACAAGCAUUCACAUACCUUCAUCUUUCUCUCACUUGUAGAUUGUAAGGAACGUUUAACUCUCUCACGUGAUACGUACUAUAAGUACGUAUUUAAAUCAGAAGUUGUACGAUCUAGAUUAGAAGAAAUUCUUUUUGAGAAAUAUCAAAAAAAUUCUGAUCAUUUUAUUUGAUGUGUUAAAAUCUUUUAUAUUUAUUAUAUAAAUUUAUACGUAUAGUAAUAGAAAGAGAGAGAGAGAGAGAGAGAGAGAGAAAGAAAGAGAAUAUUUGCUAUCGAUGAAACACGUGAGAGAAGGUAUUCAAGUUGCCUGAAGCCUCGAUAUAUAUCUUUUAGUGGAAAUUCAUUUUGAAAUACUAAGAAACAUACGUCUCACUUGACGAGUUUCGAUGAAGUCGGCAUGGAAAUGAGUCUCUCGGUCGUUCGCCUUCAUCGAUCAUCAUUAUCACCUGUUAGCAAUCAUUACACACCGUUCUCGUUACCAAAUUAUCUGAUGGAUUAUAGAAAAUAGAAGAAAUCAUUUAGUUCUCCUUUUCUAUUUAUUUCUUUUCUCUCUCUUUUUUUUUUAAUUUUUUUUUUCUUUCCUUAAAUAUUAUUCCUUUCUUCGUUAGAUUUAAAUGUUUGGAUAGAAAUAAUAAUCAUUUAGAUCAAUUUUUAUUUAUUUUGAUCGUGAACGUUUUAGAAAUUGCUUGGAUGGAAAAUUUCAAUGCUCCCAUCUUAAUGGGUUUCUAUAAAUCAAUAUCUUAUAAAACAAGAACAUGGUCUGUUUCAAGCUGGCAGAUUCAUAGAAUCUUCUUCGCGUGUAAUCGUUUAUUUUAUUUACGGAUUUCUCUUCUCUAUCAUGAAUUCUUCUAUUUCGAUUAGAGUCAAGUACUCCCUGGCGCCUGGUAUUAAUCCCUCCGGCAACGGCAAAUUUAUUUUUCGAUACUCGAGUGGUCGACUAACGUUUGUGAGCAAAAAAGAAAAAAGAAAAAAGAAAAAAAAAAAAGAAAAAAGAAAGUAAAAGAAAAAGAAGAAAACGAAAACGAAAGAAAACGGUUUAGUUGGUCUCGAUGGCAAAACGAAACCAGAUUGCGUUUCGUCUGUCGAUAAAUUCUUUUUUACAUUCCACUCUACCAUCACGUACGAGAAAAAUAAUUACGCGUUAGAGUUAUAUAGACAGGGAGCUAUUUAAAACUGAAUUUGUUUUCAAAUUCGUCGAAUUUUUCGAGUUUAUUUAUCAAGCAGUAAGACUUCCGGUUCAUUGACCUUUCUUUUCUUUUUUUCUCUUUCUUUCUUUCUUUCUUUUUUUUUUUUUUUUCUUUUUUUUUCUUUUUCUUUUGAUACGACAGAACGUUACGUGACUUGGCAAAUAAGAAUGAAAAAGGAAGGAGAAAAGAGAAUUGCGUUGAAACACGCGAUUAAUGGUGCCAAUUCAAUUAUCAGAGACGACGAGCUUGCCAGCUCGUAAAUCGUUCUCGUUCGUCGGACUCGUCAUUCUUGAAGAAGGUGUUCGAGAAACUAUCCUACAAUGAUGUGGUCAUCGUAGCGAGAGAGAGAGAGAGAGAGAGAGAGAGAGAGAGAGACAGAGAGAGAAUAGAAAAGAAAAGAAAAGAAAAGAAAGAAGAAGAAGAAGAAGAGGAAGAAGAGGAAGAAGAGGAAGAGAAGAAAAAAAAAAGAAGGAAGGAAGGAAGGAAGGAAAAGUAUAACAUAUUUUACGAUCGACUCUGACAAACGAGUUGAGGACCCCUGUCGAGGAAGACUUCCUCUUGAACGCCCAUGCCCUACGCCCACGUAUCCAGACUCGAGAGGGAAAUACGAAGACGAAGACUUCGGGAGAGUCUUAACUCACGGACGUAAGGAUCGUGGGAUAGAAGAGAGCUCGGAUAAAGCUUGUCACGUGUCACCUGCGAAAGGAAUACUUGUAGGUAUGCAGAAGAUGUAGGUAUCCGUUUCGGCGUAACAUAAAAGAGAAGAAGCUCUUCCAGUCCUCUUGUAAAACGCUGUCACCAUAAUGAUCGAUGUCGCAUCUGUCGCAAUGUGAACCAACUACACCCUCAGAACACCUGCACUCGCCGGUUACGGGAUCACAAAGUUCGUCGAGGGCACCCACAUCGCAUUCGCAUAGUUGGCAACGUGCACUCACGUUUCCGUAACCCUCAAUACAGAAGGAACAGUCACGACCAGAGAACAAAGGCUUGCAGGGACACUGACCGCUCAUCCGAUCGCAAUGAACGAAACCACUGCCAAUCGGGUCACAAUCGCAUGCUAAAACGAAAAAUGACAAUUUUGACGUAAUGGAUCCCCAUAAUGAGCCUCCUUACAUCUUUCACAUUUCCAACCUUCGGUAUUUCCACGGCAUUCUAAACAACGUCCUGUUUCCUGAUCGCACGGUCCACCUGAGCAAGGACAUCGCUUACAGGAUAACUAUAUAUUAUAUCAUACCUUUCACAAUGAUCGCCUGUAUAUCCUUCGGGACAUUGAGUGCAAACAUAGCCGCUAUUAUCAUCCGUGGGAUCCUCCAAUUGACAACUUGGACUGAAAUUAUUUGACUCGAUGGACAAUGGACAAGCACAUUUUUUACAAUCUUCCGAUGUCCCUUUCGUUGCAAUCCCAUAAUAUCCUGUUGAACAUCGAUCGCAUUUUGGACCGACCGUAUAAUGCUCACAGCUUACCUUACAUUCGCCCAUAACAAGAUCGCAAGAGGAAGCAUGACCAUUGCAAUCACACUCAACGCAAAUUUGAUAAUCCUGAUGAUUAGAACCAUUGCUCGUCACUUUCACGUAUCCCCAGGAACAAUUCUCGCAAGAUAGACCUGUAUAUCCUUUAGGACACUCACAGAUCUCUACGAGACUUUGACUACCAUCUUCCGUUCGUACGGGAUCACCUACCGGAAGGAUUGCAGAUAGAAGACUGAAAUAAUAAAUUAAGAUAAUCAUUAAAAAUGAAUAUAGAUUGGAUGGAGUAAUCAGGAAAUGGAAAAUGUUAUGAUUAUCGUCAUACCUUCCUUCGAUUUGUUCGGAAUGAUAUUGUGCUCUAAUCAUGAGAUAUUUUAAAUCAGCUAAUACAUGCAUCAUUUGAAUUCUACUGACAGAAUCGCCGCGAAAAUCGGUUCUCCUUAGUCUUGUAGGAAUGUCUCGGACUUCACUUCGCACGUGGUACCAGCCUUGCUCGGUCAAGGCCACGGAUAUCUCCGCCUCCUGACCGUUAUACUGUUCCUCGCCUUUAACGAGUACCAAGAACCGAUGGCAAUACCAAGACGACAGCAAAAGGGAAUUCUUUUCUAUAAACCGCGUAGACCGACACUUUCCAGCCCUGAGAAACGAUCGAUAAAGAUCGAAGGAAGCGAUACGCAGGCGAUAGGUUUUGACAGAAAGGCAAGGUAAGAUCAUCGAUCCAAGCAAGUCGCAGGCGCAAACAGGUUGCUGUGGUCGCGAGAACGCGCCAGGAGAAGAGAUCGUGAAAGCAUCGAACAGGUUCGCAGGAGGUUCCAGAGAAGAGUGAGCACGCCCGCGAACAGCUUCAAAAGAUAAUAGCUCGCGCGCAUGCGCUCGGACCGGCCGAAUGUAUUCUCGAGUAUCAAGUCAAAAUGAUGAUGAUGGGGUUUGAACGACGUCGACGCCUCGAAGCUAAAGAGAGAAGAAAAGGAGAUGAGUUGCAGAUAAACGCUGCAACGAGGGAUAAGAGAGAAGAAGAUAAAAAAGGCAGUGAAAGAGAAAGAGAGAAAGAGAGAGAGAGAGAGAGAGAGAGAGAAAGAUGACAGAUUAUACAAUAUUGCCAGCUAACAUCAGAGCUAAGUUCCCGGAAGCAUGAGGUCAUCUCUGGCGAGCUAACAACUUCCUCUUAACUCCAAAAUGAAGAUGCUUUCUCUUGGGAAACGUAAACGACGAUCGCGAUUCGACGUUUCUUAAAGAGAUAAUCUACAUUGAGAUUUAAGAAACCAAGUGUUUUUUUAUCGAGAGUGCCUCUCGUUUGACUGAACAGGAUCAUCCAUUAAAUACUAUGAGAAUACGAGCUCGUUAUCAUCGUAUUAAUAAUAAUUCAUAGGAAGAGAAAUAACGUUCAGAUUGACCGGAGAUUGACGGGGGAAGAAUAUUGUACAAGACAAAGGAGUCCCAUAUGAAGGCACACGCACGGAAGUCAACUGUCCGUGGACGACAAAUCGUUUAACUUCAAUAUGACUCAUGGUACACUUCGUUGGAUAAUAUAAUUAUUCUUCGAGUUCAUCAAAGCAGCAUGAAAUCUUAUCAGAAGGAUGGGAACACUUGGAAAUCAUCGGACCAUCAAUUUAAGAGACACAAAGAAUACAAAAUUAAAAGAAUACAGAAUUAUCAUCAAGAGGAUAUGGAACAAUCGGAAAUCAUUUGUAACAUUAUAAAAUGCAAUUAUCUGUAAAAUAAAACAUUGUGAAAGAGAAAAAAUGAGAGAGACAGAGAUUGUGUAUGUGUGUAUGUGUGUGUGUGUGUGUGUCAGAGAGAGAGUGUGUGAGAGAGACAAAAAAAGAGAGAAAGAGAGAGUUAAACUGCAUUAUAGCUAUUCUUAACGA